GUAUCCUGGCUCAGGAUGAACGCUAGCUACAGGCUUAACACAUGCAAGUCGAGGGGCAGCAUUUUAGUUUGCUUGCAACUAAGAUGGCGGCCGGCGCACGGGUGAGUAACACGUAUCCAACCUGCCGAUAACUCGGGGAUAGCCUUUCGAAAGAAAGAUUAAUAUCCGAUGGUAUAUUAAAACCGCAUGGUUUACAUUAAGAUUUCGGUUAUCGAUGGGGAUGCGUUCCAUUAGUUUGUUGGCGGGGUAACGGCCC
rnacentral:rRNA from 1 species